rnacentral:rRNA from 1 species
UAAUGGCUCACCAAGGCGACGAUCCCUAGCUGGUCUGAGAGGAUGAUCAGCCACACUGGAACUGAGACACGGUCCAGACUCCUACGGGAGGCAGCAGUGGGGAAUAUUGCACAAUGGGCGCAAGCCUGAUGCAGCCAUGCCGCGUGUGUGAAGAAGGCCUUCGGGUUGUAAAGCACUUUCAGYAGUGAGGAAGGUGGUGUMGUUAAUAGCGGCAUCAUUUGACGUUAGCUGCAGAAGAAGCACCGGCUAACUCCGUGCCAGCAGCCGCGGUAAUACGGAGGGUGCGAGCGUUAAUCGGAAUUACUGGGCGUAAAGCGCAUGCAGGUGGUUAGUUAAGUCAGAUGUGAAAGCCCGGGGCUCAACCUCGGAACUGCAUUUGAAACUGGCUGACUAGAGUACUGUAGAGGGGGGUAGAAUUUCAGGUGU